AAAUGCCAAUUUUUUCAGAGAUUAAUGG
rnacentral:piRNA from 1 species